rnacentral:rRNA from 1 species
AUACGUAGGUGGCAAGCGUUGUCCGGAUUUAUUGGGCGUAAAGCGAGCGCAGGCGGUUUCUUAAGUCUGAUGUGAAAGCCCCCGGCUCAACCGGGGAGGGUCAUUGGAAACUGGGAGACUUGAGUGCAGAAGAGGAGAGUGGAAUUCCAUGUGUAGCGGUGAAAUGCGUAGAAAUAUGGAGGAACACCAGUGGCGAAGGCGGCUCUCUGGUCUGCAACUGACGCUGAGGCUCGAAAGCGUGGGGAGCAAACAGGAUUAGAUUCCCUGGUAGUCCACGCCGUAAACGAUGAGUGCUAAGUGUUGGAGGGUUUCCGCCCUUCAGUGCUGCAGCAAACGCAUUAAGCACUCCGCCUGGGGAGUACGACCGCAAGGUUGAAACUCAAAUGAAUUGACGGGG